rnacentral:rRNA from 1 species
AACGAACGCUGGCGGCAGGCUUAACACAUGCAAGUCGAACGCAUCCUUCGGGGUGAGUGGCAGACGGGUGAGUAACGCGUGGGAACGUGCCCUUCAGUUCGGGAUAACCCAGGGAAACUUGGGCUAAUACCGGAUACGUGCGAGAGCAGAAAGAUUUAUCGCUGAAGGAUCGGCCCUCGUCUGAUUAGCUAGUUGGUGGGGUAAUGGCCCACCACAGCGACGAUCAGUAGCUGGUCUGAGAUGAUGAUCAGCCACAUUGGGCCUGAGACACGGCCCAAACACCUACGCGACAGAGCAGUGGGGAAUAUUGAACCAUGCGCGAAAUCCAGAUACAGCAACGACGAGUGAGCGAUGACAGCCUUCGAGUUGUAAACAUCUUUUAGGAGGGACGAAGCGAAAGUGACCGUACCUGAAGAAAAAGCACCGGCUAACUACGUGCCAGCAGCCGCCGUAA